rnacentral:rRNA from 1 species
AGAGUUUGAUCCUGGCUCAGGAUGAACGCUGGCGGCGUGCAUAACACAUUCAAGUCGAACGAAGCAGCAAUGCUUAGUGGCGGACGGGUGAGUAACGCGUGAGCAAUCUGCCUCUGUGUGCGGAAUAACAGCCGGAAACAGCUGCUAAUACCGCAUGAUGCUACCGGGUCGCAUGGCCUGGCAGCCAAAGAUUUAUUGCACGGAGAUGAGCUCGCGUCUGAUUAGGUAGUUGGUGAGGUAACGGCCCACCAAGCCGACGAUCAGUAGCCGGACUGAGAGGUUGAACGGCCACAUUGGAACUGAGAUACGGUCCAGACUCCUACGGGAGGCAGCAGUGAGGAAUAUUGGUCAAUGGACGGAAGUCUGAACCAGCCAUGCCGCGUGCAGGAAUAAGGCCCUAUGGGUCGUAAACUGCUUUUGUGGUGGAGCAAUAAGGCGUACGUGUACGUCGAUGAGAGUACAUCACGAAUAAGCAUCGGCUAACUCCGUGCCAGCAGCCGCGGUAAUACGGAGGAUGCAAGCGUUAUCCGGAUUUAUUGGGUUUAAAGGGUGCGUAGGCUGUGCGGCAAGUCAGGGGUGAAAGCCCGCCGCCCAACGGCGGAACUGCCUUUGAUACUGUCGCGCUGGAAUACGGAUGCCGUGGGAGGAAUGAGUAGUGUAGCGGUGAAAUGCAUAGAUAUUACUCAGAACACCGAUUGCGAAGGCAUCUCACGAAUCCGUCAUUGACGCUGAGGCACGAAAGCGUGGGGAUCAAACAGGAUUAGAUACCCUGGUAGUCCACGCAGUAAACGAUGAUGACUAACCGUCGGCGAUACACAGUCGGUGGCCAAGCGAAAGCGAUAAGUCAUCCACCUGGGGAAUACGUUCGCAAGAAUGAAACUCAAAGGAAUUGACGGGGGCCCGCACAAGCGGAGGAACAUGUGGUUUAAUUCGAUGAUACGCGAGGAACCUUACCCGGGCUCGAACGGCAAGUGAACGAUACAGAGAUGUUGAGGCCCUUCGGGGCACUUGUCGAGGUGCUGCAUGGUUGUCGUCAGCUCGUGUCGUGAGAUGUUGGCUCAAGUGCCAUAACGAGCGCAACCCUUGCUGUCAGUUACCAGCACGUCAAGGUGGGGACUCUGACAGGACUGCCACCGCAAGGUGUGAGGAAGGCGGGGAUGACGUCAAAUCAGCACGGCCCUUACGUCCGGGGCGACACACGUGUUACAAUGGUGACUACAGAGGGAUGCCACCCAGCGAUGGGGAGCGGAUCUCGAAAAGUCAUCUCAGUUCGGAUUGGAGUCUGCAACUCGACUCCAUGAAGCUGGAUUCGCUAGUAAUCGCGCAUCAGCCAUGGCGCGGUGAAUACGUUCCCGGGCCUUGCACACACCGCCCGUCAAG